rnacentral:rRNA from 1 species
UGGGGAAUUUUGGACAAUGGGGGCAACCCUGAUCCAGCCAUGCCGCGUGAGUGAAGAAGGCCUUCGGGUUGUAAAGCUCUUUCGGGCGGGAAGAAAAGGUCAAGGCUAAUACCUUUGACUGCUGACGGUACCGCAAGAAGAAGCUCCGGCUAACUACGUGCCAGCAGCCGCGGUAAUACGUAGGGAGCAAGCGUUGUUCGGAUUUACUGGGCGUAAAGGGCGCGUAGGCGGCGCGGUAAGUCACUUGUGAAAUCUCUGAGCUUAACUCAGAACGGCCAAGUGAUACUGCAGUGCUAGAGUGCAGAAAGGGCAAUCGGAAUUCUUGGUGUAGCGGUGAAAUGCGUAGAUAUCAAGAGGAACACCUGAGGCGAAGGCGGGUUGCUAGGCUGACACUGACGCUGAGGGCGCGAAAGCCAGGGGAGCAAACGG